rnacentral:rRNA from 1 species
UACGUAGGGUGCGAGCGUUGUCCGGAAUUAUUGGGCGUAAAGGGCUCGUAGGCGGUUUGUCGCGUCGGGCGUGAAAACACUGGGCUUAACCGAGUGCUUGCUUUCGAUACGGGCAGACUUGAGGCAUUCAGGGGAGAACGGAAUUCCUGGUGUGGCGGUGAAAUGCGCAGAUAUCAGGAGGAACACCGGUGGCGAAGGCGGUUCUCUGGGAAUGUUCUGACGCUGAGGAGCGAAAGUGUGGGGAGCGAACAGG